rnacentral:rRNA from 1 species
GAGUUUGAUCAUGGCUCAGGAUGAACGCUGGCGGCGUGCCUAACACAUGCAAGUCGAACGGGGUUAAGCGAAAUUUUCGGAUGGAGCUUAACUUAGUGGCGGACGGGUGAGUAACGCGUGGAUAACCUGCCUCACACUGGGGGAUAGCAGCUGGAAACGGCUGGUAAUACCGCAUAAGACCACAGCACCGCAUGGUGCAGGGGUAAAAGAUUUAUCGGUGUGAGAUGGAUCCGCGUCUGAUUAGCCAGUUGGCGGGGUAACGGCCCACCAAAGCGACGAUCAGUAGCCGGCCUGAGAGGGUGAACGGCCACAUUGGGACUGAGACACGGCCCAAACUCCUACGGGAGGCAGCAGUGGGGAAUAUUGCACAAUGGGCGCAAGCCUGAUGCAGCAACGCCGCGUGAGUGAAGAAGUAUUUCGGUAUGUAAAGCUCUAUCGGCAGGGAAGAAAGGCCCUUAACAGGGAGAUGACGGUACCUGACUAAGAAGCCCCGGCUAACUACGUGCCAGCAGCCGCGGUAAUACGUAGGGGGCAAGCGUUAUCCGGAUUUACUGGGUGUAAAGGGAGCGCAGACGGCAGUGCAAGUCUGAUGUGAAAGCCCGGGGCUCAACCCCGGAACUGCAUUGGAAACUGUACAGCUCGAGUGUCGGAGAGGUAAGCGGAAUUCCUAGUGUAGCGGUGAAAUGCGUAGAUAUUAGGAGGAACACCGGUGGCGAAGGCGGCUUACUGGACGAUUACUGACGUUGAGGCUCGAAAGCGUGGGGAGCAAACAGGAUUAGAUACCCUGGUAGUCCACGCUGUAAACGAUGAAUACUAGGUGUGGGUGUGCACUGCACAUCCGUGCCGCAGCUAACGCAAUAAGUAUUCCACCUGGGGAGUACGUUCGCAAGAAUGAAACUCAAAGGAAUUGACGGGGACC